UCCGGGGUAGCUCAGUGGUAGUAGCGGGUGCCUGUUAAGCACUAGGUCGUGGGUUCGAAUCCCACCCCCGGAGCCA
rnacentral:tRNA from 3 species